CUUUCGCCAUUCGAAGUGAGCAUCUCGCCAUAAGGAGAAAGAAAACGAGCUCGGCUGACUAGAAAAAUCUUUUGGAUAAUUUCUCUGUGACGAUCGAAGAAUCACCGACUUCCAAAAUGCCCCACCUACGAACUCAUUCCUUUCCAGAUGGACUCCUUACUUCGGAUGAGGACGCCAAGAGCCGCAGCUGUUCUUCCGUCAGCGGCAGAAGCUUCCAGAGUGUCAGCAGCAACAGCAACAGUUCGACCUGUGACAGGAGUUGCUGUAGGGACGAACUGACUCAUCAUCACGAAAGCAACAGCAAUAACAAAAAGAUGAACAAGAAGAAAUCUCACAGGAAACAGAAAACAAUCGACAGCGAUUUCGUUACGUAUUUCAUCUGUCGUCGACCAUGAGAACAUUCUCUCUCUCAUCCUAUUCCUUCUAUGUUUUUUUAUGAAAUACUAACAAUUUAAAUAUUUUUUAUUGUUGACGAUUUACUAUUAUUAUUUUUAUAUAAAUAAAGGCUCGAUAUAA